UACGUAGGUGGCAAGCGUUGUCCGGAUUUACUGGGCGUAAAGCGCGCGCAGGCGGAUUGGUCAGUCCGGGGUGAAAUCUCACGGCUCAACUGUGAGCGGUCCCCGGAUACUGCCAGUCUCGAGGUGUCUAGAGGAGAGCGGAAUUCCCGGUGUAGUGGUGGAAUGCGUAGAUAUCGGGGAAGAACACCAGUGGCGAAAGCGGCUCUCUGGGGAGCCCAC
rnacentral:rRNA from 1 species